rnacentral:rRNA from 1 species
CACGUAGGGCGCAAGCGUUGUCCGGAAUUAUUGGGCGUAAAGAGCUCGUAGGCGGUCUGUUGCGUCCGCUGUGAAAACUCGGGGCUUAACCCCGAGCCUGCAGUGGAUACGGGCAGACUAGAGGUAGGUAGGGGAGAAUGGAAUUCCCGGUGUAGUGGUGAAAUGCGUAGAUAUCGGGAGGAACACCGGUGGCGAAGGCGGGUCUCUGGGCCGAUACUGACGCUCAUGCACGACAGCGUGGGGAUCAAACAGG